AAUAAUGUUCAGUCCAAAUUAUACAAUCCAAGAUAAAAGAGGUGCUGAAAUAUGAAACCUAUUCUAUUCUAAAUUAAUCCUAAAUUAAACUCCAUCCGACGUUUCGGGCCUUGAUCACGAGCCUCCUUUGCGUACAUGCUACUUCGGGGCAUUCCCUGGAUAAAUCAAUACAAAUCCUUCGGGGCAUUCCUCGGCCAAAUGAGUACAAUUUAAACUUUUCGUGCAAUAAAGUAGAAAGUACCAUUCACGCACAUAUUCAAACACUCCAACAAAUCGUUAUUCAUAAAUUUGCCUACCCGGCCUACAUUUGCCUACCAAGUUCCACGUAUCACAAUUCUAUCAUGUUCAA
rnacentral:lncRNA from 1 species